GACGAACGCUGGCGGCGUGCUUAACACAUGCAAGUCGAACGGAAAGGCCCUGCUUUUUUGUGGUUCUCGAGUGGCGCACGGGUGAGUAACACGUGAGUAACCUGCCCUUGACUUUGGGAUAACUUCAGGAAACUGGGGCUAAUACCGGAUAGGAGCUCCUGCUGCAUGGUGGGGGUUGGAAAGUUUCGGCGGUUGGGGAUGGACUCGCGGCUUAUCAGCUUGUUGGUGGGGUAGUGGCUUACCAAGGCUUUGACGGGUAGCCGGCCUGAGAGGGUGACCGGCCACAUUGGGACUGAGAUACGGCCCAGACUCCUACGGGAGGCAGCAGUGGGGAAUAUUGCACAAUGGGCGGAAGCCUGAUGCAGCAACGCCGCGUGCGGGAUGAAGGCCUUCGGGUUGUAAACCGCUUUCGCCUGUGACGAAGCGUGAGUGACGGUAAUGGGUAAAGAAGCACCGGCUAACUACGUG
rnacentral:rRNA from 1 species